CCUACGGGAGGCAGCAGUAAGGAAUCUUCCACAAUGGACGAAAGUCUGAUGGAGCAACGCCGCGUGCAGGAUGAAGGCUUUCGGGUCGUAAACUGCUUUUAUAUGGGAAGAUUAUGACGGUACCAUAUGAAUAAGGACCGGCUAACUACGUGCCAGCAGCCGCGGUAAUACGUAGGGUCCAAGCGAUAUCCGGAAUUACUGGGCGUAAAGCGUGUGUAGGUGGAUUAAUAAGUGUGAUGCGAAAUCCGGCGGCUCAACCGUUUGGACUGUGUCGCAUACUGUUAGUCUAGAGGACGGCAGAGGUAAGUGGAAUUACGGGUGUAGCAGUGAAAUGCGUAGAUAUCCGUAGGAACACCAAUGGCGAAGGCAGCUUACUGGGCCACACCUGACACUGAGACACGAAAGCGUGGGGAGCGAACAGGAUUAGAUACCCUGGUAGUCCACGCCGUAAACGAUGCAUACUAUUAGUAUGGGGUAUCGACCCCUGUGCUGAGAAGCUAACGCGAUAAGUAUGCCGCCUGGGGAGUACGAGCGCAAGCUUAAAACUUAAAUAGAAUUGACGG
rnacentral:rRNA from 1 species